GGGUUUGGAAGUCUAUGUAAGUGGAUGAGAGAGUGGGUAGUUGGGAUUGGGUUAGUAAGAGAUUAUGCCUAAAAUUGGGGGAUUGUGGGAUUCUAUUUGUUUUUAAUUUUUAUUAUUUUUCUCUCUCUUCCCAAAUUCUCUCUAACGUUAGUUUCUUUAAUUUUCUGAUGUUGUCUUUUCCCUUUCUGAAAUUUUCCCCUCAUUUGUAAAUCUUUUCUUUGUUUUUCUUUGAUUCUGUUCGUGAACCUAUCGUUCAAUUGCGUUACUGGAAUUGUCGGGUUUUUCAAUCG
rnacentral:lncRNA from 1 species